rnacentral:misc_RNA from 1 species
GAUGAAGAACGCAGCGAAAUGCGAUAAGUAAUGUGAAUUGCAGAAUUCAGUGAAUCAUCGAAUCUUUGAACGCACAUUGCGCCCCUUGGUAUUCCGAGGGGCAUGCCUGUUCGAGCGUCAUUAUAACCCCUCAAGCUCAGCUUGGUGUUGGGGCCUGCUGCACUGGCAGCCCUUAAAAUCAGUGGCGGCGCCAUCUGGCUCUAAGCGUAGUAAUUCUUCUCGCUAUGGAGUCCUGGUGGAUGCUUGCCAUCAACCCCCAAUUUUUCUAUGGUUGACCUCGGAUCAGGUAGGGAUACCCGCUGAACUUAAGCAUAUCAUCAGCGGAGGA